rnacentral:misc_RNA from 1 species
AGGAGAGCGAGUGUUGGCUGAGCGGUUCUGACCUUGUAGCUUGAGCGCCUCAAAUCAGCUGACCUUGUGUUCGUUUGUGUGCGUAUGUGUGGCUCUAUCUAGUCCAUGUAGUGAGUGCCACCACGUGCCUACAUACGCUUAGGGAACAAAACAUCUCUGAGAAUCCUGUCAUUGGUCUGCCUUCUGGUGAAUGCAAGAUGUUGAGACUGGGACUGGCUGUGCGGGGAGCAUUCAGGCAUGUGGCCGGUGGAGCCUCAGUAAGGCAGGCCAGUACCUCAGGUGACAGCCUUCAGCAAACAGUUCUCUACAACUUCCAUGUUAAUCAUGGUGGCAAGAUGGUGGGAUUUGCUGGAUACUCUAUGCCAGUCCAGUAUGGAUCAGUAGGCAUUGGAGCAUCCCACAAGGCUGUGCGGAGCGGCUGUGGGCUUUUUGAUGUGUCACACAUGCUGCAAUGGCGCCUAUGGGGAGCUGACCGGGUGAAGUUCAUUGAGAGACUUGUGGUAGCUGACGUGGAAGGGCUGCCUGAGAACACAGGAACCCUUUCUCUGCUGACCAAUCCAGAGGGAGGCAUAGUGGAUGAUCUCAUUGUCUCUCGCACCAGCCAGAGUCACCUGUAUGUGGUGAGCAAUGCUGGAUGCCGGGACAAGGACCUGGCACACUUGAGGAGCCAUCUGGCACAGUUCAAAGCUGAGGGAGGAGAUGUUCACAUGGAGAUCAUUACAGACCAUGGACUUGUGGCACUCCAAGGACCCUUGGCUGCAUCCAUACUUGAGCCGAUGGUGGAGGGCACUGUGGAAGAUCUGUAUUUCAUGCAUACACGCCCCAUGAUUGUUGCUGGCACCCCGUGCAGGGUGACUCGCUGUGGCUACACUGGGGAGGAUGGCUUUGAGAUAUCUGUGCCUUUAGGCAAGGUAGAAGAAUUGUGCGAGACCCUGCUGGGAUCUGGUGCUGAGCCAGCUGGCCUCGGGGCACGGGACUCUCUCAGACUGGAGGCUGGUCUCUGCCUGUAUGGAAAUGAUAUUGAUGACACUACCACCCCAGUUGAAGCAGGUCUGGCCUGGACCAUUGGCAAACGGCGUAGACAGACAGCAGACUUCAUUGGUGCUGAGAUCAUCCUACGGCAGCUUAAGGAGAAGCCAGCGCGGCGGCGUGUGGGGCUGACCUGCUCGGGUCCUCCUCCUCGCUCCCACUGCCCUGUCCUUGGUCCUGACGGCUCCAAAGUGGGUGAGGUAACCAGUGGCUGCCCAUCCCCAUCUCUUGGUGUUAAUGUGGCCAUGGCCUAUGUCCCAGCAUCCCUUGCAAAGGUGGGCACUGAGCUGACUGUGGAGGUGAGGAAGAAGACCAUCCCAGCCAUUGUCACCAAGAUGCCAUUUGUUAAAUGCAAUUACUAUGUGAAGAAGUAGUGACUCUGCCUGUGUGUGUGUGGUGGCCAAGGGUGAAGGCUCGUGCUUCCUGGCCAGUAAAAAGUGUAAGGGCUGCACUAGUGCUGAAGAGAUCGGUGUUAUUUGGAGGAUGUACACCAAACAGUGUUGUGAUGCAGUAGCCUGUUGUCCACACCACUUGCUGUUUCCAUGCUACUUCUGCCACCUUCUGCUCAAAGGUAAACAAUUCAAGAAUAUUUAGCUAUUCUUUUUAUAGUAUCAUGUUUGAGGUUAGGAUUUUAUUGUCUGCUGUUUCUCCUAGCUGUCCUGGUAGGCCCAUUUAUCCACCCAAUGGAUUAGGUAACCUUUGAUACUUUGUUUUGAAUUAAGUAUUGGAAGAUUGGGUUUGUGUUGAACCUAUUUCUUAUAAAGGAUUUUGGUGGCUUAUAAGACUGUUGACAGCUCAGGGGGAUAACAAUAUGUAAUUUUAUCUGAAACUUAUUCAUUGUGUGGACUUGUGGAGAAGUGCUGUGUCUGAUAACAUGUAGUACAUUUUGAGUUUGUGACUAUCAUUUGAAUUUCAGGCUUAUGUGCUCUCUCUCUCUCUCUCUCUCUCUCUCUCUCUCUCUCUCUAAAUUGGGAUUUUUACUUUGAUCACUCCAAAGUUAUCCUUACUUCUUUCAGGUCUCUUUUUUUUUAUUUAUUUUUUUUUAUUUCAUAUCAUGAUAUGUAAACACUUGGUACUUCUGUCUCACAUUAAAAUUUUGCAAGAGGUAGAUUAAUUUGUAUGUUGAACACUACAGGUUGAAGUACACAUAUGGUUGUGAUAGCUUGUGAGGCUGUGACAGUGUAGUUGUAGUUAAUGCUCAAUUUAUCUCAAGGAAAUAUACAUGUUUGGUUUACACAAAGGAUGCUGAAAGCUAAAUAUAUGUUCCAGAAGGAACUGAGAUGAACCAGUGUCCAUUGUUUAUGUAAUGAUGCUACAACUUAAAAAUACAUAAUGUAAGAAACAAUCAAGGGACAAAGAAUGUGUUGCUUCAGUAAUUGUUUGUCUUGCAGGCUUAUGAGCCUGUGUGAUCAGCCCAGGCACUCACUGAAGACACUAUCUUGUCUCAAUUGGCAGCUUAUAUCAGACACCAAGGUUUCAGUUAAAUCAUGAUAGUUGAAGUCUGAGAGGUUGUGUCAUGAUCUGUAUUGUUCCUUGUAAGGAAGUUGUUAGAAACAAAUAUUUUGUUUGUAUUCCUGUUAUCAGAUAAUCUCAUGUAAUGGCAGAAGUAUAGAUUGUGUGUCAUUUAAUUGAAAUUUGAAUUAUUAAUAGUUAAUUAUGUAAAGGCAAUCAAGAAGGAAUAUUUCAGAGUGCUCAACAGUGAUAACAACAAAAGUUUGAUUAAGAAAGCAAUUCUGAAAUAAAAGUAAUACUACUACUAAUAAUGAUGAUCAAUAAAUCAGUUGAAUUUGCUCUGUAGCAUAUACUCUGUAAAUAUGUAACUGCAAUCACAAUAAAAUCAUAAUAAAGGAGAAAGAAAGGCUCAGUUAAGUCAAAGUAAA